rnacentral:rRNA from 1 species
AUUAGAUAGUAGGCGGGGUAACGGCCCACCUAGUCUUCGAUGGAUAGGGGUUCUGAGAGGAAGGUCCCCCACAUUGGAACUGAGACACGGUCCAAACUCCUACGGGAGGCAGCAGUGAGGAAUAUUGGUCAAUGGGCGAGAGCCUGAACCAGCCAAGUAGCGUGAAGGAUGACUGCCCUUAUGGGUUGUAAACUUCUUUUAUAAAGGAAUAAAGUCGGGUAUGCAUACCCGUUUGCAUGUACUUUAUGAAUAAGGAUCGGCUAACUCCGUGCCAGCAGCCGCGGUAAUACGGAGGAUCCGAGCGUUAUCCGGAUUUAUUGGGUUUAAAGGGAGCGUAGAUGGAUGUUUAAGUCAGUUGUGAAAGUUUGCGGCUCAACCGUAAAAUUGCAGUUGAUACUGGAUAUCUUGAGUGCAGUUGAGGCAGGCGGAAUUCGUGGUGUAGCGGUGAAAUGCUUAGAUAUCACGAAGAACUCCGAUUGCGAAGGCAGCCUGCUAAGCUGCAACUGACAUUGAGGCUCGAAAGUGUGGGUAUCAAACAGGAUUAGAUACCCUGGUAGUCCACACGGUAAACGAUGAAUACUCGCUGUUUGCGAUAUACGGCAAGCGGCCAAGCGAAAGCGUUAAGUAUUCCACCUGGGGAGUA